ACGGCGAGUGAAGAGGGAAGAGCCCAAGAUUGAAAGCUGGCGUCUUCGGCGUCCGCAUUGUAAUCUCAAGAAGUGUUUUCCGCUUCGGACCAAGCCUAAGUCCCCUGGAAAGGGGCAUCAUAGAGGGUGAUAAUCCCGUACAUGGCUUGGAGCGCCCGAGGCUUUGUGAUACGCUUUCUAAGAGUCGAGUUGUUUGGGAAUGCAGCUCAAAAUGGGUGGUAAAUGCCAUCUAAGGCUAAAUAUUGGGGAGAGACCGAUAGCGAACAAGUACAGUGAUGGAAAGAUGAAAAGAACUUUGAAAAGAGAGUUAAACAGUACGUGAAAUUGCCAAAAGGGAAGGGUAGGAGGUCAGAGAUGCGGCCUGGGAUUCAGCCUUGCUUUUGCUUGGUGUUUUUCCCAGAUUGCAGGCCAACGUCGGUUUUGGGCACUGGAGAAGGGUAGGAGGAACGUGGCACCCCUCGGGGUGUGUUAUAGCCUCCUACUGGAUACAGCGACCGAGACCGAGGACAGCAGCGUACUCGCAAGAGCGGGCCUUCGGGCACCUUUACGCUUAGGGCGUUGGCAUAAUGGCCCUCUACCACCCGUCUUGA
rnacentral:rRNA from 1 species